GUCCUCAGCCAUACCACCCUGAACACACCCAAUCUCGCCUGAUCUUGGAAGCUAAGCAGGGUCGGGCCUGGUUAGUACUUGGAUGGGAGAACACCCAGGGCUGCGCCCU
rnacentral:rRNA from 1 species